rnacentral:rRNA from 1 species
GUUAUAAGAGUUUAGAUUCCCUGCUCCAGGAUGAACCGCGGGCCGGCGUCACUAAAUACAUACAAGUCGAGCGAACAGACAAAGAGCUUGCUCCUUUGAGGUUAGCGGCGGAGGGAGAGGCACGGGUGGGUAACCGACCUAUAAGACUGGGAUAACUCUUGUAAACCGGAGCUAAUACCGGAUAAUAUUUCGAACCGCAUGGUUCGAUAGUGAAAGAUGGUUUUGCUAUCACUUAUAGCUGGACCCGCGCCGUAUUAGCUAGUUGGUAAGGUAACGGCUUACCAAGGCGACGAUACGUAGCCGACCUGAGAGGGUGAUCGGCCACACUGGAACUGAGACACGGUCCAGACUCCUACGGGAGGCAGCAGUAGGGAAUCUUCCGCAAUGGGCGAAAGCCUGACGGAGCAACGCCGCGUGAGUGAUGAAGGUCUUCGGAUCGUAAAACUCUGUUAUUAGGGAAGAACAUACGUGUAAGUAACUAUGCACGUCUUGACGGUACCUAAUCAGAAAGCCACGGCUAACUACGUGCCAGCAGCCGCGGUAAUACGUAGGUGGCAAGCGUUAUCCGGAAUUAUUGGGCGUAAAGCGCGCGUAGGCGGUUUUUUAAGUCUGAUGUGAAAGCCCACGGCUCAACCGUGGAGGGUCAUUGGAAACUGGAAAACUUGAGUGCAGAAGAGGAAAGUGGAAUUCCAUGUGUAGCGGUGAAAUGCGCAGAGAUAUGGAGGAACACCAGUGGCGAAGGCGACUUUCUGGUCUGUAACUGACGCUGAUGUGCGAAAGCGUGGGGAUCAAACAGGAUUAGAUACCCUGGUAGUCCACGCCGUAAACGAUGAGUGCUAAGUGUUAGGGGGUUUCCGCCCCUUAGUGCUGCAGCUAACGCAUUAAGCACUCCGCCUGGGGAGUACGACCGCAAGGUUGAAACUCAAAGGAAUUGACGGGGACCCGCACAAGCGGUGGAGCAUGCGGUUUAAUUCGAAGCACUCGAAGAACCUUACCAAACUUGACAUCCUUUGACAACUCUAUAGAUAGAUC